rnacentral:rRNA from 1 species
AACGAACGCUGGCGGCAUGCCUAACACAUGCAAGUCGAACGAGACCUUCGGGUCUAGUGGCGCACGGGUGCGUAACGCGUGGGAACCUGCCCUUAGGUUCGGAAUAACUCCCCGAAAGGGGUGCUAAUACCGGAUAAUGUCUUCGGACCAAAGAUUUAUCGCCUUUGGAUGGGCCCGCGUUGGAUUAGCUAGUUGGUAGGGUAAAAGCCUACCAAGGCGACGAUCCAUAGCUGGUCUGAGAGGAUGAUCAGCCACACUGGGACUGGGACACGGCCCAGACUCCGACGGGAGGCAGCAGUGGGGAAUAUUGGACAAUGGGCGAAAGCCUGGUCCAGCAAUGCCGCGUGAGUGAUGAAGGCCUUAGGGUUGUAAAGCUCUUUUACCCGGGAUGAUAAUGACAGUACCGGGAGAAUAAGCUCCGGCUAACUCCGUG